rnacentral:rRNA from 1 species
GACGAACGCUUUCUUCUUUCUUAACACAUGCAAGUCGAACGGAAAGGCCCUGCUUUUGUGGGGUGCUCGAGUGGCGAACGGGUGAGUAACACGUGAGUAACCUGCCCUUGACUUUGGGAUAACUUCAGGAAACUGGGGCUAAUACCGGAUAGGAGCUCCUGCUGCAUGGUGGGGGUUGGAAAGUUUCGGCGGUUGGGGAUGGACUCGCGGCUUAUCAGCUUGUUGGUGGGGUAGUGGCUUACCAAGGCUUUGACGGGUAGCCGGCCUGAGAGGGUGACCGGCCACAUUGGGACUGAGAUACGGCCCAGACUCCUACGGGAGGCAGCAGUGGGGAAUAUUGCACAAUGGGCGGAAGCCUGAUGCAGCAACGCCGCGUGCGGGAUGACGGCAUUCGGGUUGUAAACCGCUUUCGCCUGUGACGAAGCGUGAGUGACGGUAAUGGGUAAAGAAGCACCGGCUAACUACGUG